UUCCCCUAGUACGGCGAGUGAAGGGGAAGAGCUCAAAUUUUGAAUCUGGCAGCCUCGCUGUCCGAGUUGUAAUCUCUAGAAGGUUUUCCGCGCUGGCCCGUGUAUAAGUCUGUUGGAAUACGGCGUCAUAGAGGGUGAGAAUCCCGUCCUUGACACGGACAACCAGUGCCUUGUGAUACACUCUCGAAGAGUCGAGUUGUUUGGGAAUGCAGCUCAAAAUGGGUGGUAAAUUCCAUCUAAAGCUAAAUAUUGGCGAGAGACCGAUAGCGAACAAGUACCGUGAGGGAAAGAUGAAAAGCACUUUGGAAAGAGAGUUAAACAGUACGUGAAAUUGUUGAAAGGGAAACGCUUGAAGUCAGACGUGCGGGCGGAACUCAGCCUUCCUUCGGGUUGGUGUAUUUUCCCGUCAUGCAGGCCAGCAUCGGUUUCGGGCGCCCGGAUAAGGGUCGGGGGAAUGUGGCCUGCUCCCGGCAGUGUUAUAGCCCCCGACUUGAUACGGUGCUUGGGACCGAGUGACGCAUUUUUAGGAUGCUGGCAUAAUGGCUUUAAACGACCCGUCUUGAAACACGGCACCAAGGAGUCUAACAUGCUUGCGAGUGUUUGGGUGGCAAACCCGGGCGCGUAAUAAAGUGAAUGGAGGUGGGAUCCGUAAGGUGCACCAUCGACCGGUCCUGCAGUUUCCAUGGAUCUGAGUAAGAGCAUAUGUUGGGACCCGAAAGAUGGUGAACUAUGCCUGAAUAGGGGAAGCCAGAGGAAACUCUGGUGGAGGCUCGUAGCGGUUCUGACGUGCAAAUCGAUCGUCAAAUUUGGGUAUAGGGGCGAAAGACU
rnacentral:rRNA from 1 species